CUUGCAUAGCUAUAGAGCAUAAUUGUUAAAAUAAAAACGAGAAUAGUUUUAAAUACUCAGUUUAUAUCUAAAGCCAGGGUUUCUGUCCAUCUCUCUGUCUCUCUCUCUAGAAAAUUGGGGACAAUCGUCGAGCGCCAUGCCUCAAGGAGAUUACAUAGAGCUUCACAGGAAGAGAAAUGGCUAUCGCCAUGAUCAUUUCGAGCGCAAAUGAAAGAAAGAGACUCGUGAAGUCCACAAGCGAUCUCAGAUUGCUCAGAAGUCUUUGGGUAUCAAGGGUAAGAUGUUUGCUAAGAAAUGCUAUGCUGAGAAGGCCCAAAUGAAGAAAACGUUGGCUAUGCAUGAAGAAUCAUCAUCCAGGUGAAAGGUGGAUGAUGAUGUUCAGGAAGGAGCUAUUCCUGCUUAUCUGCUUGAUCGUAAAACAACGACACGGGCAAAGGUUCUCAGCAACACUGCAAAGCAAAAAAGAAAAGAGAAAGCUGGAAAAUGGGAGGUUCCUCUAUCCAAGAUAUUUUCCCAGUAG